rnacentral:lncRNA from 1 species
GGUUCUGGGAAAUAAGAAAUCAUUAGAAAAAGAUUUCUGCCUUCUAGAAGUACACAGUCUAAUGGUGAGAUAGGCAGGAGCCUGACAUCAUGGUGAGCAUCGAGAAAGGAAUAACCUAAGCUGAAGACACGCCUUUUCAGGAGGCCAAGUUCCACGUUCUGUGCAUGCUUUUGGCGAAAGUCAGGUGCCGAGACAUGAACUUUGGUCUUCUCUGCAAUCCAUCUGGAGCAUUCACUGACAACAUCGACUUUGAAGUUGCACUGACCUGGCCAGCCCUGCCACUUACCAGGUUGGCUCUGUAUGGCUAAGCGUUUUCUCCUAAAAUCCCUUGAAAACUGUGAGAAGACCAUAAGAAGAUCAUAUCUUUAAUUCUAUUUCACAAGUCACACAAUAUUCCAAUCAAAUACAGAUGGUUGAGAAAAGUCAUCCAUCUUCCCUCCCCACCCUCCCACAGCCCCUCAACCACUGCCCUGAAACUUAUAUGCUGUUAUCCGCAGCUCCAUCUGGAGCAUCACAGCUACUGUCAACCCUGACGCUCUUUCUGAAAAAACACCGGAUGGACAUCAGAACUAUUUCUUUAAGGAUGUUACUGAGCCACACAGGAAAACUUGCCUUAUGAUUUUGAAUGCACGGAUCUGAUUUGACUAAACAUGAUAACUAGAGAAUCACCCAAUCUACUCCCAUUUUCAACUCUAAAUCAUCAGAGUGUCUCAAAUCCAAAGCACACACAGACCAGCCUGGCCAACACGGUGAAACUCCACCCCUACUAAAAGUAUAAAAAUUAUCCAGGUGUGGUGGCGGGCGCCUGUAAUCCAAGCUACUUGGGAGUCUGGAGGCAGGAGAAUCCCUUGAACCUGGGAGAUGGAGGUUGCAGUGAGCAGAGAUCACACCACCGCACUCUAGCCUGGGCCACAAAUCAACAACAACAACAACAACAAAAAACAAAGCGCACACAGAGACUGAGGUCCUCUUUGGCAUUGAGAAGAUGGCUAUGCAAGUCCCAACUAGCAAGUGCAAACUUCCCAGCUUCACUUCUGCCAGUGUCCCUUCACCCCUUCUCAACCCCACUGGGAGGCAGGAGGGUGCUUGACAAUAACAGCCUUGGCAUCACUCUGCCAGGGUGUAAUAGGAACUGUUACAAUUCUGAGAUUCUGUAAGUGCUUUGAGAUUUUGGAGUCAGACUGCUUGAACUUGAAUCCUGGCCCUCUCAUCAGAGACUUGACUUAUUUUAGGCUGUGGCUUGCCUUUUCACUUCUUGUGUCCUGUUUAAGAAAUAUCUGCUAUCCCAAGCAUCUGGCAUCUUUCUUGACAUAUGUAGCAGUUGCUUUUUGACAGCUUGCUUCUUCAGUGAAUGAAUAAAUUAAUAAAGAGAAAUGUGAUGUUCAGUGAUCCAUUUUGCAGAUUGCAAACUCCUAGAGAAGGGCUCAACAGUGAGUGCUGAGGCUGCACAGAGGAGGAAGGCAGCACAAUGAUGGAAGGCUUCCUAAAGAGGUCAUCUCCUGAAUCAAUUAAAAAAAAAACCAACAGUGACAACAAAACUAAAAAAUAUGAAGAAGCUGAAACAUGAAAGCUCUGCCAACUGCAAUAUGUAGCUGCUAAGGUUGCUGUAUUUAUUGGAAUCAAGCAAGUGUUCCAGUAAAGAGCACAGAAGAUGUGUCUGGGAGCCUUUAUGUGUAGAUAACACUAACAAAGUUGACCUUAGAAUUGGAGUGCCUGGGUUAGAACCCUGCUGGUACCACCUGCUUACUGCAUGCUUCUGAUGUGAGUUCAGGAGAAGACACUGGCAAGGACAGCAAAGAACAGGAGAACACUCUAGCUUCCCUGAUAGCAUUCAAGGUGCUGUCCAAAGCUGAAAAAGUUUUGGAAGCCCUCCUAAGCAGGUGCCAGACCCUUUUUUGGCCAGAGACAGGAUCUUACGCUGUUGCCCAGGCUGGAGUGCAAUAGUGUCAUCAUGGCUCACUGUAGCCUGGAACUGCUGGGCUCAAGGGAUCCUCCCAGCUCAGCCUCCCAAGUAGCUAGGAGUAAAGUUGGAGGAACUGGUUAUUUUCCCAGGGCUUUGACUGAAAUGGCCUUGUGAAUGGUUCCAGGAAAGCCAAUUUUGGAGACCCUAUGUGGAUGAUGAUGCUUGCUGUACUUUCUGUGGGUAAUCGGGCCAAGUAUAUGGGACUGAAGCUAAUUUUGCAGGUGAGAAAAUGGAGGUCCAGAGAGAAAAGUGACUCACCCAAGCUGAAAACAGUUGCAGGAAGAAAAGCCAGGACAGAACUGGGCUGUUAGAAACCUUGGAGUACACUAAAGAUGAGGAACUGAGUCACCGCAAUGCCAAAUGUAACACGCUGUGGGUCAAAAUUUGGAUGGUUGCGUUGGAAAUUAUUCUGAAGCCACAGACAGGGCUAAAAGAGUCUAGAAUGUCCUACUAGCUGUUGGAACCUGCUGGAGUUCUAAAGGCAUGCGAUGUCCUGAAUGUGCUUGACCAAUGGACACAGCAGGUAUUUGAAGAGUUUUGAUGCUUCCUUUCUGUUUUCAGUGCUAUUUUUUUGCUUUAUUUCUUUUAAAAAACUUUCCCCACAGAGGCUAUUUAUUACACAGCAGCAGCCAGCAUGCACCAAGCAGAACUGCUUUUCAUAAUAAACCUAUUUAUCUUCUGGCAUGUCAGAAAUUUCUCAAAUUGAUACUUAUAAUAAAUAUGAUUAAUAACACAUUGUA